UGGCGGCAUGCUUUACACAUGCAAGUCGAACGGUAACAGGUCUUCGGAUGCUGACGAGUGGCGAACGGGUGAGUAAUGCAUCGGAACGUGCCCAGUCGUGGGGGAUAACGCAGCGAAAGCUGUGCUAAUACCGCAUACGAUCUAUGGAUGAAAGCGGGGGAUCGCAAGACCUCGCGCGAUUGGAGCGGCCGAUGUCAGAUUAGCUAGUUGGUGGGGUAAAGGCCCACCAAGGCGACGAUCUGUAGCUGGUCUGAGAGGACGACCAGCCACACUGGGACUGAGACACGGCCCAGACCCCUACGGGAGGCAGCAGUGGGGAAUUUUGGACAAUGGGCGCAAGCCUGAUCCAGCAAUGCCGCGUGCAGGAAGAAGGCCUUCGGGUUGUAAACUGCUUUUGUACGGAACGAAAAGGUCUGGGUUAAUACCCUGGGCUCAUGACGGUACCGUAAGAAUAAGCACCGGCUAACUACGUGCCAGCAGCCGCGGUAAUA
rnacentral:rRNA from 1 species